rnacentral:pre_miRNA from 1 species
AGGCAACAGAAUAUCUAAAUAUAUAGACACAUAGAGAUACGAAAAUUAUUAUAUAAAUUUAUAAGAUUAUAGUAACUCCUUACUAAAUGGUUUAUUAUAACAUUACGGCAAAUAUGCUCGUGUGUUAUAGUAAUCCAACUAUCGUAAAUAUGUAUACAUAUUAUCGUAAAUUAGUAUAUAAAAUUAUCGUAAAUGGAGGGGGCUACAGAAUAACAUAUUUUGUAGCUA